GCUAAGCCCAUGUCAUGCUGAUGGUACUGCAACUUGGUGGUUGUGGGAGAGUAAGUGACUGCCGCAA
rnacentral:rRNA from 1 species